rnacentral:miRNA from 1 species
CAAUAUAUUGGUUGAUGCGUAUUGCAAAGAAGGAAUGGUUAAAGAUGCAGAGGAUGUGAUAGAGUUGAUGAUUCAAAAAGGAGUAGAUCCUGAUGUAGUCACUUACAGCUCACUCAUGGAUGGAU